AGUGUUUCUGCUUUUGGUAGGACCAAGAAGAGGGAGAGAAGAGAUGUAUUUUUAUUUUUUAAAGAUUGAGAGGAUACAUGUCCAUGCUUGAUAAAAAUCUCAAGAUCCCAGACUUUGAGCCUGAUCUAUGCUUAAUGCCUCUGCUAGCACCACGUUUGAGGAGUUACAGAGAAUUUAAUCUCCUGACACUGAAUACUGCACAUCACAUCAGAGUAAAAGACUGACUUCACAACAGACUGGAUCUAGUGACUUCCCUCAUAAACGGAACAUGGAAAACAUUACAGGAUGCUACUUCCAAGAUAAAUGAAAGAAGAUAGUGACUUGUUCCUAUCUCGACUCUCUUCUCCUGUGCUUGCUCACUCGGAAGGAAGCCUGCU